UACGGGAGGCAGCAGUGGGGAAUAUUGCACAAUGGGCGCAAGCCUGAUGCAGCCAUGCCGCGUGUAUGAAGAAGGCCUUCGGGUUGUAAAGUACUUUCAGUCGUGAGGAAGGUGUUAAGGUUAAUAACCUUAGCAAUUGACGUUAGCGACAGAAGAAGCACCGGCUAACUCCGUGCCAGCAGCCGCGGUAAUACGGAGGGUGCGAGCGUUAAUCGGAAUUACUGGGCGUAAAGGGCACGCAGGCGGUUAAUUAAGUUGGAUGUGAAAUCCCCGGGCUUAACCUGGGAAUGGCAUUCAAGACUGGUUAGCUAGAGUCUUGUAGAGGGGGUAGAAUUCCGAUGUGUAGCGGUGAAAUGCGUAGAGAUGUGGAGGAAUACCGGUGGCGAAGGCGGCCCCUGGGACAAAGGCUGACGCUCAUGUGCGAAAGCGUGGGGAGCGAAAC
rnacentral:rRNA from 1 species